rnacentral:rRNA from 1 species
UACGGAGGGUGCAAGCGUUGCUCGGAAUUAUUGGGCGUAAAGGGUAGGUAGGUGGUCUCGUUUGUCUGGGGUGAAAGCCUUGAGCUUAACUCAAGAAGUGCCUCAGAAACGGCGAGACUAGAGUUCUGGAGAGGGUCGUGGAAUUCCCGGUGUAGCGGUGAAAUGCGUAGAUAUCGAGAGGAACACCUGCGGCGAAGGCGGGUAGCUGGGCCGACACUGACGCUGAUGCGCGAAAGCCAGGGGAGCGAACGGG